rnacentral:rRNA from 1 species
CCUACGGGAGGCAGCAGUGGGGAAUAUUGGACAAUGGGGGGAACCCUGAUCCAGCCAUGCCGCGUGUGUGAAGAAGGCCCUCGGGUUGUAAAGCACUUUCAGUGAGGAAGAACGCCUGGUGGUUAAUACCCAUCAGGAAAGACAUCACUCACAGAAGAAGCACCGGCUAACUCCGUGCCAGCAGCCGCGGUAAUACGGAGGGUGCGAGCGUUAAUCGGAAUUACUGGGCGUAAAGCGCGCGUAGGUGGCUUGAUAAGCCGGUUGUGAAAGCCCCGGGCUCAACCUGGGAACGGCAUCCGGAACUGUCAAGCUAGAGUGCAGGAGAGGAAGGUAGAAUUCCCGGUGUAGCGGUGAAAUGCGUAGAGAUCGGGAGGAAUACCAGUGGCGAGGGCGGCCUUCUGGACUGACACUGACACUGAGGUGCGAAAGCGUGGGUAGCAAACAGGAUUAGAUACCCGAGUAGUC